UUACGGCCGUAUCACGUUGGAACUCUGGUUCUCGUACGAUCACCGAAGUUAAGCAAAAUCGAGAGUGGUCAGUACCUAGAUGGGUGACUGCUUGUGAAUACCAGGUUCUGUC